rnacentral:piRNA from 1 species
AGACGUCAGGAUCAUCGGAGGAAAAGC